rfam:Aerococcus christensenii strain CCTG28831, complete genome.
GCACCCAUGGCUCAACUGGAUAGAGUACUUGACUACGAAUCAAGCGGUUGCAGGUUCGAAUCCUGCUGGGUGCA